UGGGAGGGGGCGGGGCGCGGAGGGGCCGGUCCCGGCUGAGGGGCCGUUGGUGCGGCAGAGUCGGAGCGGCGGCGGCCGGCGCGGCCCCGGGGAGAGGGCUCUGACGAGAGAGGGACCGACAGACCCACGGCGAGGGAGGAGCCAACCCCCGGCAAAGGAGCGGCCACGGCGAGAGAGGAACCGAGCCCUGGCAAGGGAUUGUCUGACCCCCUGCGAGGGAGUGAGCCCCGGAUAAAAAAAGUCUAAAUGUGUGAGUCAAACCAAAAGCUUGCUUUAUUUAUAGAUGACGGAUACACAUUUACUUUAUGGCUACUGGACAGGCACAAAGGCAGCAGCGUUUCCAUGGGCAGCUGAGUGUGUGGAGCAGGCAGUGCAGGAGCAGGAAGAGGAAGAAGGAGGAGACCCUUAAGAGACGACUGCCUGCACCCUCAGAUGCGUGGGCCUCUGUAAGUUUUGUGCAGAACCUCCUGAUGCCUGAGCAUGCAGAUUGGCCCAGAAAAUUGCGAUGGCAAAACUGGAGUCCAGAGCCGUUCCAGGGGGUGUUUCCUGCAGCCACAAAGGCAGGGGCAAUUUCCUGGAGCUGUCACGUGCCUGUCCACGGCUUUGAGGAUGCUGUGG
rnacentral:lncRNA from 1 species